CAGUUCGGAUCGGAGUCUGCAACCCGACUCCGUGAAGCUGGAUUCGCUAGUAAUCGCGCAUCAGCCAUGGCGCGGUGAAUACGUUCCCGGGCCUUGUACACACCGCCCGUCAAGCCAUGGAAGCCGGGGGCGCUUGAAGUGCGUUGCCGCAAGGCGCGCCCUAGAGCGAAACCGGUGACUGGGGCUAAGUCGUAACAAGGUAGC
rnacentral:rRNA from 1 species